rnacentral:tRNA from 1 species
UAAUAUGUAGUGUAAUCACAAUAAGUUGCAAACUUAUAAAUACCUUAAAGUCAUAUUAA